AUGGAGAGGGGACACUCAGCACGUGACAGUCCCAGGGUGUAUAUGGGCAUAAAUGGGUUUCUUCAAGCUGAGAGGUCCUCACUGCUGGCCUGGAAGAUGCUUUCCUCCCCGCCAGGAGCCUGCCCAUGCAUCAUGCUGCAGUUCUUCUCCAAACAGCUGUGGCCAAGGCAGCCCAGAGUCAUCCGGGCAGUGGCAGUGCGUGCCCGAGGAUCUGGGCUCUCACCUGGAAGCAGCCACACCAGACGGGAGCAAAGGGAGUGCUCCUUGGUAAGCGGUCAUCUCCCGUUUCAGUUACUAGCAGUUAACAGAAGAGGCUUUCCUGCAAAUCUUGCACUCCUACCUCCACGGCAGUGCUUGUCAAGUCAUCCUCUUAGCACGUCCCUGAAAAUAUAG
rnacentral:lncRNA from 1 species